AAAAAGAGGAACGCGGCCACCAUCCACGCACGCGCACCUCGAGCGAACAGUUCACCAAAAAAGGAACACGGCCACCAUCCACCCACGCGCCGCCGCCAGCGCUCCUUUGCCGCCCCUCUGUCGUCGCCGCCGUCCGGAAUAGCCCAUCCUCGUCGGCGCCCGCAGCAGCAGCGGGCCCUGGCGUUCCUUCGUCCUCGUCGCCGUCUGCAAAUCCCGCACGGCCCCUGCCCACCCCGACCAUCCUCGCAUGCUGCCUGGGCGACUUGGCGGGCCGGCGGACCGGUGGACCUCCGCCUCCACGCGCCGGACGACCUCCGCCUGACCACCUCUUUCCCGACGUGCCGGCUGACUGGCGACCGCCUUCUCUACGCGCCGGCAGACCCCCGCCUCGACUUGUGCCGCCUCUACCUGUUUCCCGACGUGACGGCGGAAUGACGGACCUCCGGCUCAACGCGUCGGCGGACCUCUGCCUCCCCAACCAGCUGAGCGAGCCUCCCUUGGGUUUUUUCUGGUAUGGAUUCCUUCCCCUCUCCGUGUGUGUCUACCACUGUGUGCGUCCGUGCUCUGCGUGGGUGUUCUGCUUGUGCGUGUUCUGUGUCUGGAUCGCUGGCAUAUGUGUGCUCCAUUACUGAAUGACAAAUUUCUGAAUUUUUGCAAUGAACAAUGUUCACGUUCUUUCAGGCAGCUCGCCCGCAUCCAUAAUGGUCUGCCAUUUUAGAAUUAAUCAAGAUUACCUUUCAGGCUUCUUCCGUUUCCUAGCUAAUUCCCUCCUUGUAGGCCCUGUUGUGGUUUGAAAUUGGACGUAUACACCUGAUCCUGUUUUUUCUACACCACCAACUUUACUGUUGAUUAGAACUUAACUUCAGGAUAAAAGCAUGUAUAACAUGGAAUGAGAGGAAGAGGGCUCUCAACUACGCAUGUUGAUUAUACUGUUUAGUGUUAGCUCCAUCAAUACUGAUACAGAUAGGAUUUCCUGUUGUAGAUAGGUAAAUAUUUUGCAACUAAUGUAAUCUGGUAAAUAAGCUAAAGUAUUAUGAUAAUGCCACCUUACUGCUAUCUCAAAAUAUGAUGCGAUUAUUCAGUAUCCAUUGCCGGAUAUAGUCAGACAUAGGCAUCAAAUCAAGUCCCCCUUAAAUCAUUUAACUGCACAUCACAAGUAUCAGCCUCCAACUGCCACCAAUAUGGCAAGAAACAAGGCAUGCUGAUCUAAUAAUCAUCUUUAUAAAUAUUUUUAACCUAACAAGUGAGUUGAUGAUCAGAAAAUCAUGCUUAACUAUCAAUAGGUGAUCUCAUUUCUUGGUUCAGUGAAGUGAUUAUGUGGAGCUUGUGAGGAAAAAAGAUAGGACAAGAAGCCUAGGAGGUUGUCUACAGCCACUGCCCUGUGAGUGCUGUUGAACAUGUAAGUAUAGUCGGGAGAGUCAUGUACUCGCUCGAUGCCAUAGCUCACCCACCCCGAGUUGUGCCACCCUCUUCUAGCCGGAGGUGCCGCCGUCGCCGCUGUCGAGGACAUCUUAAUAUUAAACAAUAAGUAUUAUAUUCAUCAAGAGAGUUUCCUCGCUAUGUGGUGUUCACAUUUGUUCUCUCCAAGAUCAUGUAGCGGUGUGAUUAUUUUUUGCAGUUUCCCUAAUUACCCUUUUCUCUUAUUCUAGCUUCUAUAUUGUUGUGUUCACAACACUGGAGGGAUCUUACUGAAGGAAGAUUUAAUAAUAGGUAGAGUUUCCGUACUUACUGAUUAUAUAUAUUGACAUAUGACCAUAACUGAACAAUGUUGAGUUAUCUUCUAAAUUGGCAUGGAUUUUUUUCUGCUAAAAACAUUUUCCUAUGAUAUUUUGCAAUUUCCAUGUUUCGAUUGAGCUUGUUAUGAUUUAUCGGUAAGUCCUCUCUCAGCUUUUAGAUUUGUGCUUAGAUUGUUGUAUAUAAGCCAAAAUGAAUCUAUAAUAAGGGAAAUAAUCUGACUAAGCUUACUGUAUGAAUGAAACUGAAGAGUGAAGUGAUAUUUCUUUCUACCAUUGCGUAGCUUUACCAUCACCGAUCCAGGUUAAGUGUAUAAUUUGUUUUUCUAUGCAUUAUUCGGAUACAAAGGAUUCAAGCUGUAAAAAAUAUGCAGUGGAUUCAAGGUUAUGCAGAACAUUAUCGCAAGCUAGCAUUUCCUGUGAAAAGAAGACAAUUAUCUAGAACACGAUUAAUUUGUAGAAAAAAUGCUGAUAGGUAAAUCUAGAUGACCAGCCGACAGAAACUUUACCAGGUUGUUUAUUUGUAUGAGUUACAAUCUAUGUUUCUCAUUUGAUGUUAUAGAAAAUGUUCUGAUGGACUCAUUGUUUUUGCUAUCUUGGCCUAUGUGUUCAUCGCAAGUUGUUAGAUUUGUCUAUAGGGUUUACCAUGUGCAUUCAUUUUGAUCACUUUCAUCAAAUUGCCUUUCUACCAUUCAAAUUCUUAACAAUGUGAAUUUUCUUCAUGCUGAUGGAUUGGCCAACUUGUUUUCUGCAUCUAUGCGAUUGCCGAUGGAGCGAACAAAUUUUUGCUACACUAUGAAGUUUCUUUAUCUGCCCCAAGAGAAGUGCAGAAAUGGGUGUUGUGUUCCAUGAACACUUGAAAUAAUUCAGUUCUGGUUUCUAUCAAUAUAUUGUUUGUACUGCAUAUAUAUUAUUUUUAGCUACGCAAUUUCCUUCGACAGGCAAAGACUUGUCUAUUAGUAUCUUUUGUAUUUGAUGGAAUGUUGUAACGAGACAAAACCUUCGAGGCAAGAAACAGGGAACAACAAGCUUGAUAGUA